UACAGAGGUCUCGAGCGUUGUUCGGAUUCAUUGGGCGUAAAGGGUGCGUAGGUGGCGUGGUAAGUCUGGUGUGAAAUCCCGGGGCUCAACCCCGGAACUGCACUGGAUACUGCCAUGCUUGAGUACUGGAGAGGAGAUUGGAAUUUACGGUGUAGCAGUGAAAUGCGUAGAUAUCGUAAGGAAGACCAGUGGCGAAGGCGAAUCUCUGGACAGUUACUGACACUGAGGCACGAAGGCCAGGGAGCAAACGGG
rnacentral:rRNA from 1 species